AAGAAACAAAAAGUAAAUGAAGUUGAAGUCAAAUCCAAGGGUGAAAAACCACAAGAUAUGAAAAAUUUUGAGACAUUGGUUGGCCUCAUGCUGAGUACAUCAAGAGCAUACCCUAUAAACUUCCCAGAGGAUGUUUUUGGUGAGAGUUUCAAGACCUUCAUGAUGAAAGAAGAUAUGGAAAUGAUAAUAUCAUCAAAAGAAGUGUCAUCCAAUUGUAUUUUAUACUACAUCUGGCAUUUGCAUAGAAAGUUGAUUGAUGCAAAGCAGGCCGAACGAUAUGUUUUUGUCAAUCCAGCAUUGGUCUCAAAAGCUGGAAUAGGAGAGGGAAGCAAGGAAAACAGGUCAAGGGUUAUUGCAGAUCGACUAAAGAAUACAAAGCAUGCUGAAUAUAUGCUUAUUCCAUACAACCCAGAGUAACCUUUUAUCCUAAAUAUCAAUAUGGUGUUUGUAAGUUAGUUUGUGAUGUUUGAAUUUGUGGAUACUAUAUUACAAUUUUCAUUUCUUUUCUUUAGUUUUCAUUGGGUGUUAGUGGCAUUGGAGAUGAAGAAAAUGAUUGCAUAUUACCUUGAUCCAAUGGCCUGUCAACCAUGUGAUGAUCUUAAGGACAUAGUUAACAUGGCAAUGAGAAUCAACCCACCAGAAAAACAGAAAACAUCAAAGAGGGAGCCAACUUGGGUGAAAGUGGUUGUAAGUACUUAUUUGUUUAGAUUAAAAUAUAUUGCUUCACCACUUAAUUUAUGAAAAAAUUAGAAAAUGGAUGGUUAUUAAUAUGAUCAUCAAUAAGAUGCUAAAGAAGUAAGAACAUCAUUCUAGUGUUUAUUGCAAUUGUUGAUACUUUUCCCAUAGUGCCCAAGAAAACCAGGUAGUGUGGAAUGUGGGUAUUACGUGAUGAGAUAUAUGAAGGAAAUCAUUGCUAAUCCAAACCAACUAACAUCAAAGUUUUGCGGGAAGAAAUCAUAUAGUGAAAUGGAAAUUAAUGAAGUUCGAUCAGAUUGGGUUAUGUUAGUGACUCAGUUAAUCAUUACUCAUGUUUGAAGUUGGCAGUGUUUUCAAUAUGGAUCAUUUUAGGGGUUGCUCUAUUAUGAUUGAUGUAUAGUUGGCAUAUUGAGAGGUGAAGCCAAGUAGACAUGGUUGUACAAAAAGGCAUAGGUCAUUCUAUUAACAACGUCACUACUGCUCUUGAUGAAGGACACCCACAAACAAUUCAAAAUAUAUCAUCAAAAGAAUUUUGAGAUUGAGCAUCUAGAAAGUGAGUUACAACCAUCCUUUUGCACUUGGAAGAAAAAUGAUGUAAAACUAGAUGUAGUGAAGGUUAUGAACAAUUCAAAGUUGAGAAGAAGAAGUUGUAAAAUUGUUGGUUUUAGUUGUUGAUUAUGUAUGAUGUUUAUGGAUAAAUUGUAAUAGUGAAAAAGGGAGACCAUAUUUGAUACUUUUUGUCAAUGGAGAUUCUUAAAUUAA